AGUUGUACGUGGCACUACAUUUU
rnacentral:miRNA from 12 species